CAAAAGCCUGGUCCUGACUUUAACAUCAAUUAUAACUCAACCUACACAUGCAAGUUUCCGCACCCCUGUGAGAAUGCCCCCUAACCCCGACAGGAAAAGAGGAGCGGGCAUCAGGCACACUACGGUGGCCCAAAACGCCUUGCUUAGCCACACCCCCAAGGGAACUCAGCAGUGAUAAACAUUAAGCAAUGAGCGAAAGCUUGACUUAGUUAGAGUUAAAUAGGGCCGGUAAAACUCGUGCCAGCCACCGCGGUUAUACGAGGGGCCCAAACUGAUAAAUCACGGCGUAAAGUGUGAUUAAAGACAUACGAUAUACUAAAGCUAAAUAGCCCCUAUGCUGUCAUACGCCAUGGGGCCCACGAAGUCCAACGACGAAAGUGGCUUUAUAAACCUUGAACUCACGACAGUCAGGGCACAAACUGGGAUUAGAUACCCCACUAUGCUUGACCUUAAACUACGGCGAUAAACCUACAAACUUCGCCCGCCAGGGGACUACGAGCGCUAGCUUAAAACCCAAAGGACUUGGCGGUGCCUCAAACCCACCUAGAGGAGCCUGUUCUAUAACCGAUAAUCCCCGUUAAACCUCACCUCUCCUUGUUAAUCCCGCCUAUAUACCGCCGUCGCCAGUUUACCUUAUGAAAGAAUAAUAGUAAGCAAAAGGGGCACUACCCAAAACGUCAGGUCGAGGUGUAGCGAAUGGAGAGGGAAGAAAUGGGCUACAUUUUCUGCAACAGAAUAUAACGAAAAGUGUAAUGAAAAGUACACAGUUGAAGGCGGAUUUAGCAGUAAAAAGAAAAUAGAGAGUUCUUUUGAAGCCGGCUCUGAGGCGCGUACACACCGCCCGUCACUCUCCUCGAAUAGAAAAUGACAAUAAAUAAAACCUUGAAAAGCAAAAGAGGAGGCAAGUCGUAACAUGGUAAGUGUACCGGAAGGUGCACUUGGAACAAU
rnacentral:ncRNA from 1 species